AUGGGGAGCAACUAGGGGCUCCUCAUAUCUAGUGGUCAGGGAAGGCCACUCUGAGGAGUUGACUUAGGAGGUGAGACCUGGAUAUCAAAAAGCCAGCCUGGCAAAGACGAGGGGCAAAUCCUCGCCAGCAGAGGGAAGAGUUGGUGCACAAGGGCUGAGGGGAAAGUGAACUUAGUGAAUUCAGGGCUGAGAAAGGAAGUGAGUGGGUGGCUACAGCUUUUGCGGUGAGGUGGCUGGACAGGAAGACAGAGGCGAGAUCAUGAAGGACUUGGCAAGGCCAAGGGAAAGAUUUGGGGCUUUAUUCUAGGAAGACGGAUGCAACAGAGUGAAGCCAGCUGAUAUGGGUUUGAAAAGGUCUUACUGGCCAGGCAUAGUGGCUCACGCCUGUAAUCCCAGCUCUUUGGGAGGCCAAGGUGAGUGGAUUACCUGAGGUCAGGAGUUCAGGACCAGCCUGGCCAACAUGGUGAAACCCUGUCUCUACUAAAAAAUACAAAAAUUAGCCGGGCAUAGUGGUGGGGACCUGUAAUCCCAGCUACCUGGGAGGCUGACAGGAGAAUUGCUUGAACCCAGGAGGCAGAGGUUGCAGUGAGCCAAGAUUGCGCCAUUGCACU
rnacentral:lncRNA from 1 species